GCCCGCCUAGCUCAACGGUUAGAGUAACACGCAGUAUUGCAUGUGGCAGCGAGUUCGACUCUCGCGGUGGGCC